AUGGGAAAGACUAGAGAUCUCUUCAAGAAAAUUAGAGAUACCAAGGGAACAUUUCAUGCAAAGAUGGGCUCAAUAAAGGACAGAAAUGGUACGGACCUAACAGAAGCAGAAGAUAUUAAGAAGAGGUGGCAAGAAUACACAGAAGAACUGUACAAAAAAAAUCUUCAUGACCCAGAUAAUCACGAUGGUGUGAUCACUCAUCUAGAGCCAGACAUCCUGGAAUGUGAAGUCAAGUGGGCCUUAGAAAGCAUCACUAUGAACAAAGCUAGUGGAGGUGAUGGAAUUCCAGGUGAGCUAUUUCAAAUCCUGAAAGAUGAUUUUGUGAAAGUGCUGCACUCAAUAUGCCAGCACAUUUGGAAAACUCAGCAGUGGCCACAGCACUGGAAAAGGUCAGUUUUCAUUCCAAUCCUAAAGAAAGGCAAUGCCAAAGAAUGCUCAAACUACCACACAAUUGCACUCAUCUCACAUGCUAGUAAAGUAAUGCUCAAAAUUCUCCCAACCAGGCUUCAGCAAUACGUGAACUGUGAACUUCCAGAUGUUCUAGCUGGUUUUAGAAAAGGCAGAGGAACCAGAGAUCAAAUUGCCAACAUCUGCUGGAUCAUCGAAAAAGCAAGAGAGUUACAGAAAAACAUCUAUUUCUGCUUUAUUGACUAUGCCAAAGCCUUUGACUGUGUGGAUCACAAUAAACUGUGGAAAAUUCUGAGAGAGAUGGGAAUACCAGACCACCUGAUCUGCCUCUUGAGAAAUCUGUAUGCAGGUCAGGAAGCAACAGUUAGAACUGGACAUGGAACAACAGACUGGUUCCAAAUAGGAAAAGGAGUACAUCAAGGCUGUAUAUUGUCACCCUGCUUAUUUAACUUACAUGCAGAGUACAUCAUGAGAAACGCUGGACUGGAAGAAGCACAAGCUGGAAUCAAGAUUGCUGGGAGAACUAUCAAUAACUUCAGAUAUGCAGAUGACACCACCUUUAUGGCAGAAAGUGAAGAGGAACUAAAGAGCCUCUUGAUGAAAGUGAAAGAGGAGAGUGAAAAAGUUGGCUUAAAGCUCAGCAUUCAGAAAACGAAGAUCAUCGCAUCCAGUCCCAUCACUUCAUGGGAAAUAGAUGGGGAAACAGUGGAAACAGUGUCAGACUUUAUUUUCUUGGGCUCCAAAAUCACAGCAGAUGGUGACUGCAGCCAUGAAAUUAAAAGACGCUUACUCCUCAGAAGAAAAGUUAUGACCAACCUAGAUAGCAUAUUAAAAAGCAGAGACAUUACUUUGCUGACUAAGGUCCGUCUAGUCAAGGCUAUAGUUUUUCCUGUGGUCAUGUAUGGAUGUGAGAGUUGGACUGUGAAGAAGGCUGAGCGCCGAAGGAUUGAUGCUUUUGAACUGUUGGAAAAGACUCUUAAGAGUCCCUUGGACUGCAAGGAGAUCCAACUAGUCCAUUCUAAAGGAGAUCAGCCCUGGGUAUUCUUUGGAAGGAAUGAUGCUAAAGCUGAAACUUAA
rnacentral:lncRNA from 1 species